AACGAACGCUGGCGGCAUGCCUAACACAUGCAAGUCGAACGAGACCUUCGGGUCUAGUGGCGCAAGGGUGCGUAACGCGUGGGAACCUGCCCUUAGGUUCGGAAUAACUUCCCGAAAGGGGUGCUAAUACCGGAUAAUGUCUUCGGACCAAGGAUUUAUCGCCUUUGGAUGGGCCCGCGUUGGAUUAGCUAGUUGGUAGGGUAAAAGCCUACCAAGGCGACGAUCCAUAGCUGGUCUGAGAGGAUGAUCAGCCACACUGGGACUGAGACACGGCCCAGACUCCUACGGGAGGCAGCAGUGGGGAAUAUUGAACAAUGGGCGAAAGCCUGAUCCAGCAAUGCCGCGUGAUUGAUGAAGGCCUUAGGGUUGUAAAGCUCUUUUACCCGGGAUGAUAAUGACAGUACCGGGAGAAUAAGCUCCGGCUAACUCCGUG
rnacentral:rRNA from 1 species